rnacentral:rRNA from 1 species
UGAGUACGAGCUGCUACGGCAGCGAAGUGGGUGAUGUCAAGCUUCCAAGAAAAGCCCUAUACCCGUUAAGGCAUGAUGGCCUGUACCCGAAACCGACACAGGUGGGGUGGUAGAGAAUACCGAGGGGCGCGAGAUAACUCUCUCUAAGGAACUCGGCAAAAUGGCCCCGUAACUUCGGGAGAAGGGGUGCCACCGCAAGGUGGUCGCAGUGAAGAGGCCCAGGCGACUGUUUACCAAAAACACAGGUCUCCGCUAAGUCGCAAGACGAUGUAUGGGGGCUGACGCCUGCCCAGUGCCGGAAGGUUAAGGAAGCUGGUCAGCGUAAGCGAAGCUAGCGACUGAAGCCCCGGUGAACGGCGGCCGUAACAAUAACGGUCCUAAGGUAGCGAAAUUCCUUGUCGGGUAAGUUCCGACCCGCACGAAAGGCGUAACGAUCUGGGCGCUGUCUCGGAGAGAGGCUCGGCGAAAUAGAAUUGUCUGUGAAGAUGCGGACUACGUGCACCCGGACAGAAAGACCCUAUGAAGCUUUACUGUAGCUUGGUAUUGUGCUCGGGCUCGGAAUGCGCAGGAUAGGUGGGAGGCUAUGAACCAUUGCUUGUGGGUGAUGGUGAGCCACUGGUGAGAUACCACUCUUUCCGAGCUAGAGUUCUAACAGCCACCCGUUAUCCGGGGGCUGGACAGUAUCAGGUGGGCAGUUUUGACUGGGGCGGUCGCCUCCUAAAAGGUAACGGAGGCGCGCAAAGGUUUGCUCAGGCUGGUUGGAAAUCAGCCGACGAGUGUAAAAGCAGAAGCAAGCUUGACUGUGAGACCUACAAGUCGAACAGGGAGGAAACUCGGCUUUAGUGAUCCGACGGUUCUGCGUGGAAGGGCCGUCGCUCAACGGAUAAAAGUUACUCUAGGGAUAACAGGCUGAUCUCCCCCAAGAGUUCACAUCGACGGGGAGGUUUGGCACCUCGAUGUCGGCUCAUCGCAACCUGGGGCUGAAGUCGGUCCCAAGGGUUGGGCUGUUCGCCCAUUAAAGCGGUACGCGAGCUGGGUUCAGAACGUCGUGAGACAGUUCGGUCCAUAUCCGGUGCAUGCGCAGGAAUAUUGAGAGGAUUUCUCCCUAGUACGAGAGGACCGGGAGGAACGCACCUCUGGUGUACCAGUUAUCGUGCCAACGGUAAACGCUGGGUAGCCAUGUGCGGAGAGGAUAACCGCUGAAAGCAUCUAAGUGGGAAGCCCACCUCAAGAUGAGUAUUCCCAUGGGGUAACCCAGUAAGGUCACGGGAAGAACACCCGUUGAUAGGCUCUACGUGGAAGCGCAGUAAUGUGUGAAGCGGAGGAGUACUAAUAGACCGAGGGCUUGACC